CCUACGGGAGGCAGCAGUGGGGAAUAUUGGACAAUGGGCGCAAGCCUGAUCCAGCAAUGCCGCGUGAGUGAAGAAGGCCCUAGGGUUGUAAAGCUCUUUCGCCCGCGACGAUGAUGACGGUAGCGGGAGAAGAAGCCCCGGCUAACUCCGUGCCAGCAGCCGCGGUAAU
rnacentral:rRNA from 2 species